rnacentral:rRNA from 2 species
CGCGACCCCAGGUCAAGCGGGGCUACCCGCUGAGUUUAAGCAUAUCAAUAAGCGGAGGA